AAAUUGUCAAAAGCAAUAAGAUUAAUAAGAUUUGCAAAAAAAAUGUUGAUCCGUGCCGGUAGAAGAGGAAAAAAGUAAUCAAAAAGAAAUGUCUCAAAAAUGCACAAAUUAGCACACCAGACUGAAAUCGCAAAUGAACAUUUAGUAAAGAUGUUCAAAAGAGGAUAUAUUACCGAAAGAUCAUAGCAUGCACCCAGGCAAUAGAUACGUACAUCUUUAUCUUUACAGGCUGGAUGAUUUGCUAGGUUAGUGAUAUCUGUCAAACACCUUCUCAACUUUUCUUUAACUGAAGACGAUUUUCGAGCAGGCGCUCCCAUAUCAGGCGCAUUAUAUAAGCCUUGAGCGAUAUUUUCCAUAUCGAGGGAGAUUCACAUAUAAGGAGUAUAUGGAAAAGAAGACAAAAAAAUAUUAGGUUGAGACUAUACGCGGAAAGUGCAAUAUAGGCCGAAUUUUAGACUGUAAUUUUUAUUAUGUAGAGGAGAGGGUCGAUGAAGGGAUUGAUUAACAGAAGGCUUCAAACAAUUUGGAAAUUACGAUAUAACGGCUAGUUCAUAUCAGUUUGCCUGUUACCGUUGUUGCAAGCUUUCGCGAGAUUGUUUGUUGAAUACGGUGCUUUGGGUACAUUCAAUAAAUCUACGGGGUGUCUGCGUUUCUGUCCUUGCAUUUUCCGGGCGUUUUGAUAUGAGAUAUGGCAUGCAAUGUCGGAGUCAUGCCGAAUCAAAAAAAUUAGCAAAUUUAGCAGAAAAAGGCAUUCACCACCGCAAGGGGAUCUUGGCAUGAGCCUUGGUAUUAGUGGGGUUAGCUGUUGUACACGUUGAAUAGUAGAGUGUCUUCUCGCGACGCGUGUACGUUC